GUGUGCUUUUGGGCAAGUUAUUUAACAUCCCUGUCUCAGUUCCAUUCAGACACAGGCCCGCCUGACCAUGAAGUCUCAUUGUCUACCCUCCACACACCUUCUGCUUCUCACUUGCAGUUGAGAGGAGGCCUUCCAUAAGCCGUAUUGUGUGUCUCUGUGGAAUCUUGGAACAUGAUUGCGACCUUGAACUUCUAUUUUUGUUUAGAGAUGAGGUCUUGCUCUGUUGCUUGGCCUGGAGUGCAGUGGCACAAUCAAAGCUUAUUGCAGCCUCGCACUCCUGGGCUCAAGGAUCC
rnacentral:lncRNA from 10 species